rnacentral:rRNA from 1 species
UUAAGUUAACAAGGGCGCAUGGUGAAUGCCUUGGCACUAGGAGCCGAUGAAGGACGGGACUAACACCGAUAUGCUUCGGGGAGCUGUACGUAAGCUAUGAUCCGGAGAUUUCCGAAUGGGGCAACCCAGCAGUUUUAAUCAACUGUUACCACUAGAUGAAUUCAUAGUCUAGUUGGAGGUAAACGCUGUGAACUGAAACAUCUCAUUAGCAGCAGGAAUAUAAAGAAAUUUCGAUUCCCUAAGUAGCGGCGAGCGAACGGGGAAYAGCCCAAACCAAAGUGCUUGCACUUUGGGGUUGUAGGACUGAACAUUUGRGUUACCAAAGAACUUGAUAGUCGAAGGAUUUGGRAAAAUCCGCCAUAGAUGGUGAUAGCCCAGUAGAUUAAAUCAAAUUCUCUCAGUUCAGGAUCCUGAGUACGGCGGAACACGUGAAAUUCCGUCGGAAUCCGGGAGGACCAUCUCCCAAGGCUAAAUACUACCUAGUGACCGAUAGUGAACCAGUACCGUGAGGGAAAGGUGAAAAGCACCCCGGGAGGGGAGUGAAAUAGUUCCUGAAACCAUGUGCCUACAAUAAGUCAGAGCGCGUUAAUGCGUGAUGGCGUGCCUUUUGUAGAAUGAACCGGCGAGUUAUGAUCCCGUGCAAGGUUAAGACUAAAAAGUCGGAGCCGUAGCGAAAGCGAGUCUGAAAUGGGCGUUUUGAGUACGAGGUUAUAGACCCGAAACCAGGUGACCUAUCCAUGUCCAGGUUGAAGGUGCGGUAAAACGCACUGGAGGACCGAACCCGUGUAAGUUGAAAAUUGCUGGGAUGAGGUGUGGAUAGCGGUGAAAUUCCAAACGAACUUGGAGAUAGCUGGUUCUCUCCGAAAUAGCUUUAGGGCUAGCCUCGGAAUUAGGAUCAUGGAGGUAGAGCACUAUUUGGACUAGGGGCCCGUCUUGGGUUACUGAAUUCAGAUAAACUCCGAAUGCCAUUGAUUCAUAUCCGGGAGUCAGACGAUGAGUGAUAAGAUCCACCGUCGAAAGGGGAACAGCCCAGACCAUCAGUUAAGGUCCCUAAAUGUAUGCUAAGUGGAAAAGGAUGUGGAGUUGCAUAGACAACUAGGAUGUUGGCUCAGAAGCAGCCACCAUUUAAAGAGUGCGUAAUAGCUCACUAGUCGAGUGAUCCUGCGCCGAAAAUGUACCGGGGCUAAGCAUACUACCGAAACCAUGGAUGCGACCAWUAGGUCGCGUGAUAGGAGAGCGUUCUAAGGGCGGUGAAGCAAGAUCGUGAGGACUUGUGGAGCGCUUAGAAGUGAGAAUGCCGGUAUGAGUAGCGAAAGAUAGGUGAGAAUCCUAUCCACCGAAUGACUAAGGUUUCCUGGGGAAGGCUCGUCCUCCCAGGGUUAGUCGGGACCUAAGUCGAGGCCGAGAGGCGUAGACGAUGGAUAACAGGUUGAGAUUCCUGUACUAGUUAAGUGCGUUUGAGCAAUGGAGGGACGCAGGAGGCUAAGAUGUGCAUUCUGUUGGAUUAGAAUGUCCAAGCAGUAAGUCUUGUGARGAGUCAAAUGCUUUUCACUUUAAGGACAAGCUGUGAUGGGGAGCGAAAUUUAGUAGCGAAGCGUCUGAUGUCACACUGCCGAGAAAAGCUUCUAGUGAGUACUUAACUACCCGUACCGCAAACCGACACAGGUAGUCGAGGAGAGAAUCCUAAGGUGAGCGAGUGAACUCUCGUUAAGGAACUCGGCAAAAUGACCCCGUAACUUCGGGAGAAGGGGUGCUGAUCGCAAGAUCAGCCGCAGUGAAUAGGCCCAGGCGACUGUUUAUCAAAAACACAGGUCUCUGCAAAAUCGUAAGAUGACGUAUAGGGGCUGACGCCUGCCCGGUGCUGGAAGGUUAAAAGGAUGGGUUAGCUUCGGCGAAGCUCAGAAUUGAAGCCCCAGUAAACGGCGGCCGUAACUAUAACGGUCCUAAGGUAGCGAAAUUCCUUGUCGGGUAAGUUCCGACCCGCACGAAAGGCGUAACGAUCUGGGCACUGUCUCAACGAGAGACUCGGUGAAAUUAUAUUGUCCGUGAAGAUGCGGACUACCCGCGACAGGACGGAAAGACCCCAUGGAGCUUUACUGUAGCUUGAUAUUGAGUGUUUGUACAGCUUGUACAGGAUAGGUAGGAGCCAUAGAAACCGGAACGCUAGUUUCGGUGGAGGCGUUGGUGGGAUACUACCCUCGCUGUAUGACCACUCUAACCCGCACCACUAAUCGUGGUGGGAGACAGUGUCAGGUGGGCAGUUUGACUGGGGCGGUCGCCUCCUAAAAAGUAACGGAGGCGCCCAAAGGUUCCCUCAGAAUGRUUGGAAAUCAUUCGCAGAGUGUAAAGGCACAAGGGAGCUUGACUGCGAGACAGACAGGUCGAGCAGGGACGAAAGUCGGGCUUAGUGAUCCGGUGGUACCGUAUGGAAGGGCCAUCGCUCAACGGAUAAAAGCUACCCUGGGGAUAACAGGCUUAUCUCCCCCAAGAGUCCACAUCGACGGGGAGGUUUGGCACCUCGAUGUCGGCUCAUCGCAUCCUGGGGCUGUAGUCGGUCCCAAGGGUUGGGCUGUUCGCCCAUUAAAGCGGUACGCGAGCUGGGUUCAGAACGUCGUGAGACAGUUCGGUCCCUAUCCGUCGCGGGCGUAGGAAAUUUGAGAGGACCUGUCCUUAGUACGAGAGGACCGGGAUGGACAUACCUCUGGUGUACCAGUUGUGCCGCCAGGCGCAUCGCUGGGUAGCUACGUAUGGAUGUGAUAAACGCUGAAAGCAUCUAAGUGUGAAACACACCUCGAGAUGAGAUUUCCCAUUCCUUUAUGGAAGUAAGACCCCUGAAAGAUGAUCAGGUAGAUAGGUUAGAAGUGGCAGUGCGG